rnacentral:lncRNA from 1 species
AUGUGCCAGGGACAUGGGGACACGGGGACAUCUUCCUCCCACGGGAGGCUCCUGGCUCGGGGACGCUGCUCCCCUGGCACCGUGACCCACCUGCCGAGCCGCCAUCGGUGCCACUUCUCGUCACCCCAGCUCUGCAAGCGGGUGGGAUGCUGUGCCUCAGAUGCUCGGGAGCGGUGCCGUGGUCGCCCCCCAGCUCCCCACGAGGGCACUCGGCGCAGUGUGAGGCUGCGGGUGCUUGUGGGUGGGAGGGCUUCCAAGCCCUGGCCUCAUAUUUCCCCCUCCGUUGAUCUCACUUCGGAAUGGUUUUUUAUGAUAAAGCAAAGCAACGAAAUCAUCACGGCAGCACCGAGCUCGGAGCAAAGCCCCAGCUGCCUGCGCACCGCCCGGGGGACCUCACCCGGGACGCAAGCCCACACGGUGCCAGCGACCGACGCACUGAAGCCCGCGGGGGGAUUCAGGAUCCAUAGGGGCGGCUGCAGGGGGGCACCGAGCAGGAAGAUGCGCAGGUGCACCCCGCGGGAGGAUGGGUCUUCCAGGGGCGCACCUCGCGGGGGGGCUCACACGGGGCUCCGGGGGUGCAGCCGCCGGGGGGGGGACGGCCAUCGGUGUGGGCGUCCGUGCCGCCGCUCCGCAUCCCCGCACCUCCUCCCCGGUCCCGCACCGUCCCCGCAUGGCGCAUGCCUGGGGCAGAUGCCGGCCGGUUCCAACCGGGAGAGAGCGAAGCUUUUCGGGUCCUGCGAAGAGGAGGAGCCCAUCUUCCUCCUCCUCUUCUUCCUCCUCGCUGCGCAUCCCCCCGCCUUCUCUCUCCCACAGGAAAAGUUACAGAACGGGGCACGGGGCACGGAGCCGGCGUGGGGGGUGGAUGUAGGGCCGCGUGGGCUCGGGCAGCGCUGGAUACGUGGAUGGGGCGGGGGGGGGGGGCCGCGCCGCAUGAGUCACCGCGGAGCGCCCACGCUGCGCCGCAGCCCGCCGGGACGCGCACCCCUCGCACCCACCCGCGGUCGUGUCUGCCCGUGGGGCUCCGCGCACCAACAGCGACUGUUCCAGAAUGGGAACGCGGAAAGAAAGAAUGAAAGGAAACGGCGUCCCCGUGCGCGGAUGCAGAGGAGAGAUGCGCGGCCCGCGGGAGAAAGCCGCCCCCCGCGCAGGGACGCGCCGUAG